GAUGAACGCUGACAGAAUGCUUAACACAUGCAAGUCGAUGGGGAAGUGGUGCUUGCACCAUGGUAACCAUGGCGGACGGGUGAGUAACGCGUAAGGAACUUACCUGCGGGACCGGGAUAACAGCAGGAAACUGCUGACAAGACCGGAUAAGGUCAUUAAGCUGCAUAGCUUAGUGAUGAAAGGAGACGCCUGCGGAGAGCCUUGCGUCCUAUUAGCUAGUUGGAGGGGUAACGGCCCACCAAGGCGAAGAUAGGUAGCCGGCCUGAGAGGGUGGACGGCCACAAGGGGACUGAGAUACGGCCCUUACUCCUACGGGAGGCAGCAGGGGGGAAUAUUGGACAAUGGGGGCAACCCUGAUCCAGCAAUUCUGUGUGCACGAAGACGGUUUUCGGAUUGUAAAGUGCUUUCAGCAGGGAAGAAGGAAGUGACGGUACCUGCAGAAGAAGCGACGGCUAAAUACGUG
rnacentral:rRNA from 1 species